GACGAACGCUGGCGGCGUGCUUAACACAUGCAAGUCGAACGGAAAGGCCCUGCUUUUGUGGGGUGCUCGAGUGGCGCACGGGGGUGUAACACGUGAGUAACCUGUCCUUGACUUUGGGAUAACUUCAGGAAACUGGGGCUAAUACCGGAUAGGAGCUCCUGCUGCACGGUGGGGGUUGGAAAGUUACGGCGGUUGGGGAUGGACUCGCGGCUUAUCAGCUUGUUGGUGGGGUGGUGGCUUACCAAGGCUUGGACGGGUAGCCGGCCUGGGAGGGUGAGCGGCCACAUUGGGACUGGGAUACGGCCCAGACUCCUACGGGGGGCAGCGGUGGAGAAUAUAGCACAAUGGGCGGAAGCCUGAUGCAGCAACGUCGGGUGCGGGAUGACGGCCUUCGGGGUGUAAACCGCGUUAGCCUGUGACGAAGCGUGAGUGACGGUAACGGGUAAAGAAGCACCGGCUAACUACGUG
rnacentral:rRNA from 1 species